rnacentral:rRNA from 1 species
CGGGGCCCCGAACAAGUAGCGGAUCAUGUGGUUUAAUUCGAAGCAACUCUAAUAACAUUACCUAAGCUUGUCAGCCCAAUGACAUCUGCUUAAUCGGAGAGUUCCCUUCGGGGACAUUGGAGACAGGGGGUGCAUGGUUUUCGUCAGCUCGUGUCGGGAGAUGUUGGGUUAAGUCCCGCAACGAGCGCAACCCUUGUCUUUAGUUGCCAUCAUUAAGUUGGGCACUCUAGAGAGACUGCCAGGGAUAACCUGUAGGAAGGUGGGGAUGACGUCAAAUCAUCAUGCCCCUUAUGCUUAGAGCUACACACGUGCUACAAUGGGUAGUACAAAGGCUUGCCAAGCCGUAAGGUGAAGCUAAUCCCUUAAAACUCCUCUCAGUUCGUAUUGUAUGCUAAAACUCGCCUACAUGCAGCUGGAGUUACUAGUAAU